rnacentral:rRNA from 1 species
AGUGAACGCUGGCGGUAGGCCUAACACAUGCAAGUCGAACGGCAGCACAGUAAGAGCUUGCUCUUACGGGUGGCGAGUGGCGGACGGGUGAGGAAUACAUCGGAAUCUACUUUUUCGUGGGGGAUAACGUAGGGAAACUUACGCUAAUACCGCAUACGACCUACGGGUGAAAGCAGGGGAUCUUCGGACCUCGCGCGAUUGAAUGAGCCGAUGUCGGAUUAGCUAGUUGGCGGGGUAAAGGCCCACCAAGGCGACGAUCCGUAGCUGGUCUGAGAGGAUGAUCAGCCACACUGGAACUGAGACACGGUCCAGACUCCUACGGGAGGCAGCAGUGGGGAAUAUUGGACAAUGGGCGCAAGCCUGAUCCAGCCAUACCGCGUGGGUGAAGAAGGCCUUCGGGUUGUAAAGCCCUUUUGUUGGGAAAGAAAAGCAGCAGGUUAAUACCCCGCUGUUCUGACGGUACCCAAAGAAAAAGCACCGGCUAACUUCGUG